rnacentral:tRNA from 1 species
GGGGAUUUAGCUCAGUGGUAGAUCGUUUGCCUAGCAAGCGCAAGGCCCUGGGUUCGAUCCCCAGCUCCG